AGACCCGAAACCCGGUGAUCUAGCCAUGGGCAGGUUGAAGGUUGGGUAACACUAACUGGAGGACCGAACCGACUAAUGUUGAAAAAUUAGCGGAUGACUUGUGGCUGGGGGUGAAAGGCCAAUCAAACCGGGAGAUAGCUGGUUCUCCCCGAAAGCUAUUUAGGUAGCGCCUCGUGAAUUCAUCUCCGGGGGUAGAGCACUGUUUCGGCAAGGGGGUCAUCCCGACUUACCAACCCGAUGCAAACUGCGAAUACCGGAGAAUGUUAUCACGGGAGACACACGGCGGGUGCUAACGUCCGUCGUGAAGAGGGAAACAACCCAGACCGCCAGCUAAGGUCCCAAAGUCAUGGUUAAGUGGGAAACGAUGUGGGAAGGCCCAGACAGCCAGGAUGUUGGCUUAGAAGCAGCCAUCAUUUAAAGAAAGCGUAAUAGCUCACUGGUCGAGUCGGCCUGCGCGGAAGAUGUAACGGGGCUAAACCAUGCACCGAAGCUGCGGCAGCGACACUGUGUGUUGUUGGGUAGGGGAGCGUUCUGUAAGCCUGUGAAGGUGUGCUGUGAGGCAUGCUGGAGGUAUCAGAAGUGCGAAUGCUGACAUAAGUAACGAUAAAGCGGGUGAAAAGCCCGCUCGCCGGAAGACCAAGGGUUCCUGUCCAACGUUAAUCGGGGCAGGGUGAGUCGACCCCUAAGGCGAGGCCGAAAGGCGUAGUCGAUGGGAAACAGGUUAAUAUUCCUGUACUUGGUGUUACUGCGAAGGGGGGACGGAGAAGGCUAUGUUGGCCGGGCGACGGUUGUCCCGGUUUAAGCGUGUAGGCUGGUUUUCCAGGCAAAUCCGGAAAAUCAAGGCUGAGGCGUGAUGACGAGGCACUACGGUGCUGAAGCAACAAAUGCCCUGCUUCCAGGAAAAGCCUCUAAGCAUCAGGUAACAUCAAAUCGUACCCCAAACCGACACAGGUG
rnacentral:rRNA from 1 species